GCUGCUGAUUCAAUUUGCGCCGGUGCCGUUCGGAGCCGUGUCGUGCGGUGAAAGUGGGUGAAAUGUUGAGGAAGUAGUGAGUCACAUGUGUCAUAAUACCUAAAUUUGGAAGAAAAUGGCCCAGUGUUGUGUCUAUGGCUGCUCGGAGAAUGGUGGGCUUGUAUUUUCUCGCGACAAGAGGCCGAGGAAGAUAGGUAUGGCUCAGGCUGCAACGGAUUUCAUCCCACCAAACACUUGAUUGUGUGUCGGAAGCAUUUCACCGACGAUGAUUUUUUGGAAUAUAUUGCCUACGGUACAAGAAUGGGCUCAACAGGCAGAGGAAAUGGAGAAGAGUGCUCCAC